rnacentral:tRNA from 2 species
GGUCUUGUAUUCAUUUUGUGAUUAUAGAAUGCAAUUCUGUAGGGGUAAGCUAGCGAGGCUUACCAAGGCCU